UUAGAUAGAUUUUCUCUUUCCUCAGCUGCCGCCAAGGUGCUCGGUUCUUCCGAGGGAACUAAGGCUGCGUUGGGGUGAGGCCCUCACUUCAUCCGGCGACUAGCACCGCGCCCGGCAGCGCCCGCCUGUGGCUCUCCCGCGCCAUGGCCUCGGUCUCCGAGCUCGCCUGCAUCUGCUGGCCCUCAUCGUGCACGAUGAAGAAGUGACUGUCACGGAGCACAAGAUCAACCCCCUCAUUAAAGCAGCCGGAGUGAACUUCGAGCCUUUCAGGCCGGGCUUGUUUGCAAAGGCUCUGGCCAACGUCAGCAUCGGGAGCCUCAUAUGCAACGUGGAGGCCGGUGGGCCCACCGCCGCCGCCGCCGCCGCUGCCGAGAAGAAAGUGGAAGCGGGAAAGAAGAGUCCAAGGAGUCUGAUCACGACAUGGGCUUUGGUCUUUUUGACUAAAUUUCUGUAGGAACA